rnacentral:misc_RNA from 1 species
GAUGAAGAACGUAGCGAAAUGCGAUAAGUAAUGCGAAUUGCAGAAUUCAGUGAAUCAUCGAAUCUUUGAACGCACAUUGCGCCCGCCAGUAUUCUGGCGGGCAUGCCUGUCUGAGCGUCGUUUCGACCCUCGCGCCCGGCUUCUGUCGGGGGCGGUGUUGGGGAUCGGCCACACCCUUCAGUGGGAGGCCGGCCCCUAAAUUCAGUGGCGACCACGCUGUAGCCUCCCCUGCGUAGUACUAAAACCACCUCGCAGGCGGAGAGCGGUGCGGCCCGCCGUAAAACCCCCCAACUUUUACAAGGUCGACCUCAGAUCAGGUAGGAAUACCCGCCGAACUUAAGCAUAUCAAUAAGCGGAGGA